UACAGAGGGGGCAAGCGUUGUUCGGAAUUACUGGGCGUAAAGGGCGCGUAGGCGGCCUUCUAAGUCAUGCGUGAAAUCCCCGGGCUCAACCGGGAACUGCGUCUGAUACUGGAAGGCUUGAAUCCGGGAGAGGGAUGCGGAAUUCCAGGUGUAGCGGUGAAAUGCGUAGAUAUCUGGAGGAAUACCGGUGGCGAAGGCGGCAUCCUGGACCGGCAUUGACGCUGAGGAGCGAAAGCUAGGGGAGCAAAGCGGG
rnacentral:rRNA from 1 species